GGCGAUGUGGCGGAACUGGAAGACGCGAAAGUAAAAAUAUGGUCAUGUCCGUGACCAAAACAGCAGAACUUUUUUGGACUUUUGAGUGAAUCAUUGCAGGUUCGAAUCCUGCCAUCGCCG
rnacentral:tRNA from 1 species